ensembl:lncRNA
CGUUGACCCCACGCCCUUUCAGCAGACAGAGGUAGAAAUCAACCUUCAUUCGUGUUUAAAUAUAUUUACAUCAUGAGCUCAUACCUUCCUCUCAAAUUCCAGUCCAGCACCACAGGCUUCUUUCUCAUCUUCCCCUUCCAUAUUUGUCGCCCCCUUGCUGAAAACCCUGACUCCCAUCAACAUUAAUAUAUGUGUUCAUUUGCCCGGUGCUACGACAACCACAAAAUAGUUUCAACCGUGGCGAACACCAGUAAACCUAUCGAGUAACGUUUAGGCUUUCCUUCCUGUUCUGCUGCCUUUAGAGCAAGGUUUAACACCUUGCUUAGCUGCUCUCUGGCUCUGCCUCCUGCGACAGUGGACGAUGUCCUGAGCUAAAACGCUGGGCGCCGGUCGUGCUGUGGGGGCGCCUCUGCUGCAGGGUUUCCCGAAUGUGGCCGCGUUCUCCUGGCUCUAGCAGAGACGGUUCCACACAGGCCUGGCGUUAAAUCACCGUCAAUCACGCUGUGAGAAAUGCAUUCCUUUUCUGCUUCUCCUUCCACUCUCUGCCGACUUCAAGGAGAAUGUCUCAGGUGGUGCUACUGUGGCUUGAACGCCUCUUCAGCACUUGCUGAUAUUCCUUUGGAACAAGGAGGCAGAGGCCUCAAGCAGGAGCCUGCGGAAGGCAACGCUAUUUAGAGGGAAGCCACAACGUUGUUUUAUUUAUCUGUUUGUUUCUUAGAGCCCGACUGCUUGGUUUCGAAUGGUAACCCUGCUUACUUUUCAGCUGUGACCUUUGGCAAGUUACUUAAGAGCUGUGUGCCUCAGUCUCCCCGUCUGCCUACUAGAGCUAUAACGGCACCCCAUCGUAGCAUCGUUGUGGGGAUGAAUGAGUUAAUGUUGGUAAAGUGCCCCCCGGAGUGCCUGGCACGGGGUAAGCUCUAUUAUAUUCAUUUUAUGGCAACUUUCUGUUGAUAGGAAGCGAGUCUAGUUUUCCAUUUGGGGUAGUGAUGUAACAUUUCCUUUUAAGAUACAUUUAGUUCAACGAGCCAAUUAAAAACAAAGGUUAAGUUAAAAAAUACGUGGCCUGCAGAUUUAGCAAAAAUCUCCAAAGCACUGUGGCGUCAGGUGGACCCGUCCCUGCAGGUUUCCUUUCCGGCCAACUUCUCAAUAAAAUAAUAUCCGUGAAGGGACACUGCGCAAACUGUAAAGUGCUCUCCUUCCUCCCGCCCUCCCUUCAUCCUCCCUGCCAUCCUCCUCCUCCCUCCUCCCAUCCUCCCUCCUUUCUCCUCCCUCCCUCCUCUCUUCCUCCCUCCUUCCUUCCACAAAUAAUAACAAAGACUCCAGCCAGGUGCUGUGUCGGGCCGUGCGGUUCCAGAGGUUGUUCCCACAUCUUGGCUGUCGUGAAUAGUGCUACAGCGAACAUCAAACUAAAAAGCUUCCACCCAGCAAAGGAGACAAUCAACAGAGUGAAAAGGCAACUACAGAGUGGGAGAAGAUAUUUACCAACCAUGUGUCUGAUAAGGGGUAUAUAGCCAAAGUAAUAAGGAACUCCUACAACUCCACAGCAAAAAAUUGAAUAACUCAAUUGAAAAAUGGACUAAGGACUUGAAUUUUUCCAAAGGAGACACACAAAUGGCCAACAGGUACAUGAAAAGAUGCUCAACGUCACUGAUCAUCAGGGAAAUGCAAAUCAAAACCUUAUACCUGUGAGGAUGGUUGUUACCAAAAAAACAAAGACAAGUGUUGGUGAGGAUGUAGAGAAAUUGAAACCCUCGCACACUGUUGAUGGGGAUGCAAAAAGAUGCGGUCGCUAUGGAAGAUAGUAUGGAGGCUCCUCAAGAAGUUAAAAGUUGACUACCAUAUGAUCCAGCCACCCCACUUCUGGGUACUUAUCCGCAAGAGCUGAAACCAAGCUUUCUUUUGCAGUGGGCAGUACUCUCCUUCCCCAGGUGCCCACUGUCCAGAGGUCCCUGCCUUUCUCUUGCACUCCCUGCCUCGGGCCUGGGGCCUUUGCUGGGGUGCUCAGGAGCUUCUGAGGGUGGGAUUAACAGGCACUGAAGCUCGGUCACCUCCACAACUUCUAAAUUGGGUUUCUCACCAACGAUGUGAAGAUUUCAUGGAACAAGGGGCCUCUGCCGCCACCUGCUGGGCACCUGGGGAAAGGGCUCUUACGCCCCAAGGAGCCCUUCCUGCUGUCUGGGCAUUUAUAAAUGCAUGCCAGCAAUAGCAAUAACAAUAGCUGUGAUUUAUUAAAUGAUUGUCAGACAUUGUACCAAGUGCUUUCAAGACACGAUGUCUUAAUCUCCAACAGCCUUGAAAUGUGGCUGCCUUCUCCUCAUGUAUUUAUAUAGAGAGAUGAGGAAGCAUGCUCAGCAAGAGAAAGAAUGGUCAACAUCACACGGCCAGCGACUGGCCAGUGGAUUCGAACCCAGGUCUGUCUGGCCCCAAAGUGGGGCUGAGCAGCGUCCUGGAGAAAGGCAGAGAGGGAGCGAGAGGGUGGGCAGGAGAGGCUGGAGGGCUGUAGAAGGUUCUGGAAACUACUCCUGGUGACCUUCCCGGGAAGGUCCACUCACAGCUACUCCCUCUCUGGAUGCCCAGGGCCUUGCUCUGAGUCCUCCUCAGCACAUCCUUCUGCCCACCUUGGGCGUGCACUCCCUCACCCAGCAUCACAGCUGGGGAAACUGAGGCUCCAGAGGUGGAGAAUCUAGACCAUGGAUUCCAGAGAGUGUGGGGCAGAGGGGAGACUGAUCCCAGGCCCUGAGCCCAGUGCUGGGGGGAUCCAAGUGAACAACGAGAAACAGGGAAGGCGACCUGAGCCCAAGUUUCUGUCCACGUCAACUCCUCACGAUCCGGGGCCCACAGGGCAGGUGGGCAUAGGGGCUGGGAGACCCUCUGUGGGAUAGAUUCCCGGUGCGCACUCUGAAUGAUGGCCUUGCCACCGUCAAGGGCCCCGCCUGUCCGUCAGGAGGCCUCUCCAAGGGAGGGCCUGCCACGAUGUCGGAGCAGCACUCUUUUCUGGCUCUGCCACUUCCCAGCUCUGAGAUCUUGGGCAACUUCCUUCAGCUUUCCGAGCCUCAGUUUACCCUUCUGUAAAAUGGGACUAAUCGCAGUCUCUACCUCUUCGAGCUGGAUUGGGAACCAAGUGACAACCCAUACCUAAAGCCCUGAGUGCUCAGGAAGCACUUGAUAAAUGGCAUCACUAGGGACCCCCACAGACACACACUAGCCAGGCCUCAAUGCCUCUGCCAGGCUGAGAAGCAGGCGUUGUGGGAUGCCUCUGCAGGGGAAACUGAGUCACUAGGUCAGGAAGUGCCUGGGCCUAGGCUUCAGCUUGAGUCACAGGCCUAAUGCUGGGAAACCUCCCUGCAGCCACCUCCAGAAAUGCUUCGUGCCUCUGUCUGGCAGCCUCAGAGCCUCCACCCCGUGUCACCAGCCAGGGGACCUUCCCCCAAGGAGCCCCCCGCAGCCAGGCAGGCUCAGCCCUGCAAGAUGUAUCCGAUGGACGAAGGACGCUGAGAUGCACAUAUAUCCCUGCUCGACAGGCGAGGGAACUGAGGCUAGGAGGGGCAGGUGAUGCGCCCGCCGGCACAGCGGUGUGGGGGUAGGACCCUGACUCGACCCCAGGGCGUUCAUCAGAGGAAGCUCGGUGGCUGGGCUCCCUCAGGGCUGAUUUACAACCCCAGCUCAGGCCUGGGAUCAAAGUUGGUUUGCAGGAAGCCCUUCCCAUCCCGACUUCCCCGGGACCGGGACACGCUUUGACGUCAGCACGUCCACAUUCCUGCCCUCGGGCCCCAGGGUGGGGGCACCGACUUCCUCCCUCCAGCGUUGGCGUCGCAAACAGGAAGCUGGGUCACGAGGGCGGUCCCGCCAGGGCGCCCGGAGGAGGGGGUGGGAGGCCAGGCCAGGCGGCGGUCCCAGCGCUGGACCACCUGGCGCAGGGCACGGGGACGGCCGGGUCGUGUUAUAAGGCGCCCCUGUGCUCCGGGGCCCGUACAGAGGGCCUUCAAGGCUUCAUCCCUUUGGUCUUCACAAACGACACGCUCACGGAUCACGAUUUCUCUCUCGGACUGACAGCAAUGCCUACCGUGGGCCGAGCGCUCCCUCCAGGCGUGCGCUUCACACGGGUCCUCUCAUUUAAUCCUUAUAAACACCCCUCUUAUCGUCUGUUAACAGAUGAGGAAACUGAGGCACUGCAGGCUAAGUCAGUCUCCAAUGUCCCGCGGCUGUGGGGAGUGGGUGGGGACUCGGACCCAGCGUCUGCCGGGAGCCCCGUCCCCGCCCUCUCGGCCCUUGCUCCGCGUGCUGGAAACUGCAAAUCCGACCACGUCUCUCCCUCCUCACCCUUCCAUGGCUCCCCUCUACCCGGGGACGGCGGUCAGCCUUUCUCACAGGGAUCUGAAGGGACCCGCGCUGCCCUGCGGACGGAAGGACAUUACCCCCGAUGGCAUCGCUGAUGCUACAAAACCAACAGCCUUGUCUGGGUCAAUCAAGGUUGACCUCGAGAUUAGGACUCUUUGGGUCUGUUA